rnacentral:lncRNA from 1 species
UCUGCAGCCAGGACACAUCUUGGGCAAAACUGCCUCGUAAGCAAACUGUUGUCUCCUGCUUUGCAAGCUCACUCCUUCUGAAGAAGCUGACAAUUAUCCAACAUCCCAUUGCCAGCUGGCUUCAGCCAAUAGAAUUGCGGCAUACAAAUAGAGCAUCUGCAGCUACUCUGGGUCAGGCUAUACUGCAAAGUAGGAGGAAUUUCCUCUAAGAGGGGGAAAUUCAGCUCUUAGAUGGGGGAAAAUGAAAAAAAAAAUCAAAUAUAUAUAUUUUUUAUGUUGGAGGCAUUUCUGCUGCUCCUUGGCAGGAAGGAAAGAAGGAGAAUGUUAACGGGUAUUCUUUCUUCCAAAGUGCACCGCGUAUAGGAAGGACGCGAGCAUCAAUAUUUCAUCCUUGCUUCGCCUGCCAGCAUCCCGCUCCCUCCUCCCUGCUUCUCACCGGCUCUAGGACCCGGAGAGCUGGGCCACGCUGGCCUGACCCAGGGCGUCAUCACAGAUGUCCACGCUGCCUUCAGCUUGCCCGCCGUGCCAUCGUGGACUCCAGAGUCUGCGCAAGAAGCCGCCCUUCUGAGUCCGAGAGUCAAUCUGAGGAGUGUUGAAACCCUG